UUUUAUAUGCAGAAGGAGUGUAAACCCCACCAUCAGACUGAAGAACUUUUGUUGCAUGUUUCUGCAUCAUUACUGAGGUUUUGCAACAGUUUUCUGUAUGAAGACGUUCCUAAAAUAACUGUAUGGUUCCUGCAUCUUGUCCAUAGCUGUAUCAGGAGAGGCGUAGGAGGUGUCAACAAAACCACUAGGUGAAUUUGAAUAUCUAAUUGGUGUAGUGGGAGCUUUGUUAAUUAUUUGCAAGAAUGUAACUAUUCUAAAAUGUGUUUAAGAUACAGCUUCCAUGUUUAAUUCUUGUUGUGAUCUUCUGUUGCAGACAAAAUGAUGGCACUGAGGAAAUUACCAGGCCACCCACCAAAGGCACUUGCUCUCCCAUGAGUGGAUCAUUUUCUCAUUCUUAUGCUGACUCUGUCAUGGCUUAUGCUUGUAGUUGUUGCAAGACCAGAUGAAAAAUUGAAGAAUGGAAGGAAUGCACAAAGAAACACUGCACUCUUCCCCUAGAGAGUAUAUAUCAUAGAAGCAGCUUUUGAUUGUAUUGUCCCAUUGCUCAUGUUGAGACCAAUAUCUAAAAAUAGAAAUCUCAUUAAUAAAGAUAAAUAAGUGGCAUGUUUAACACAAUCAAAUUAAAUGUAUAAGUCUCAAGCAAAGAUCCUCUUAACAGUGUUAAUUCAUUAAACUACAGGUGGUCUCACCAUGAGGGCAUUAUA